rnacentral:tRNA from 1 species
GCUCCCGUGGGGUACGGGCGUGGCCGGUUCCGCCGCUCGCGGCCCGUCCCGUCUCCGGGGCUGACCGGUACUGUUCCGGGCGGGGGCCC